AUGGUGAUGACAUAUGCUAUUAGCUUUAUGGAGGUGCUUCCAUGUGGAGCUGCCAGUUGUAUGCAGGAGGAGAGAUGUCGCAAUGGCAGAAGGUGGAUAGGUCCAGGCCAGGGUGCAGUGAUGGCGGCCAGACCUGUGUGGUUCCCCAUGAACAAAAGGAGAGUUGUCAAACUCCGUGGGCAUUUUAGCAGACAAGGGCAGAAAGGCAGAUGGGGGAAAAUUGUUUGGUUAUACUGGCAGACCCCAUGUUAUGAACAAGAUAAGUUCUAUAGGUUUGUUCUUAAGUUGAAUUUGUAUGUAAGUUGGAACAGGUACAUUUUAAAAUAUAAUCAUAUCUAUCUAUCUAUCUAUCUAUCUAUCUAUCUAUAUAUAUAUGGCAUGUGCGACCCAUGGAAAAAAUGAUUCAAAUUCACUUUGAAAGUAGUGGGCUCUGGCACUUCGUUUCUAAAGUCAUUUCUGAAUUUUGAAGGCAAAAAGUUCAAAACUUUCUGAAAGUUCAGAUUCUUCGUAUGUACCUUGUUAAUGGUGUAUGCGCAUGCGCAUGAAGGAAAACAUUAUCGUCAAUGGGGAAAUUUGAGGGGCUUCUCUCUCCCUCAUUUUUGAGAUAUCCUAAUGAAAUUUGCUAUGGUGGUAGAAUACAUUUACCACUGUUAGCUCACUAAAUCUAAGAAUGUGUGACAUCCUCAGAUUUUUGGUGAAUUUUCAAAGUUUUUAUAAAAAACAUUUUUUAAUAAUUGCUGAAAUCUGUUCCUGGCUUGAAAGUAUUAUUUCCUGUUUCACUGGAUUGUCUUUACUUUGAAAGUCAUUAUUCUACUUCAGAAUCUUGUUUUUGUGGCUGAAACUCAGUGAAAUCGGUGGACAGUGUCCCAGCAAACUAUAAUGUGCUAUCAUAGCACCAUGUCCCUUGCGCAAAGACAAAGUUUUGGCAGUGUAAUAAAGUUUCACCAUGUUUCUAUGACAGAACCGAUUAGGAAAUGACAUUUAUCACCCAGGAACAAAAAUCAUAGUACAACAUCAAAUCACUCCUGACAGAUGGCCAUCAGCCUCUGAAUAAGGAAAUCUGUUUCUAGUUUCAAAGUGUUAUUUCCUGUUUCAUUAGGUUUUCUGCAGCUGAGAGUGUGUGACUUGCCCAAGAUCACUCAGUGGAUUUCCAUGGCUGAGUGGGGGAAUCAAGCCACAAUCAUAGUCCAACUCUCAAACCACUACACUACACCAUGCUGUCUCAAAACGGGCCGACUGCUUUCUUCAGAUGGGGCUUAGACCACUUCUAAAACAGGAGGGAAAAGCGGUCAGGAGUGGGUUUCUUCUGAUGUUACACUAUGUCUUAGGAAAAACCCUCACUCUUCUGUUUUUUUAUGAAUGCUCCCAUGAGAAAAUGUUCAGUGUUCUCAAAUAGGGGUGAACUAUAACUCUCUGAUGGCAAGGUCAAUUACCCACAAGGCCUGCCAGUAUUCACAGUUGGCCAUGUUGGGUCUGUGUGUGCCAAGCUUGGUCCAGAUCCAUCACUUUUCUUCUUAUCCCAGAUUAUAUGGCAGUUGGGACUCAUAUAAUCCAGUUUAAAUCAGAUAAUCUGGAAUCAGACCCUGGGAUAUAGGGCAGUGUAGAUUCAGCCUGAUUCCUCUUCCAUACUGCUCCUAUAUCCCAGGAUCUGAUCCCAGAUUAUCUGCUUUGAACUGGAUUAUAUGAGUCCACACUGGCAGAUAAUCUGGAAUAAGAAAAUAAUCUCGAGGGAGACCAAUAAUGUUGAAAGAAUGGGAAGGGAUUUGGCAAAGAAAAUUGAGAAUCAAUUAUGUGAUAGACCUACGGGAAAAUUGGUUAAAAAUGCUGCAUAGAGGGUACAUGACUCCUAAGAAAUUAGGAUUAAUGUACAAAAAUUUGGAUACUAGUUGUUGGAAAUGUAGAUAAAGAAGGCACAUAUUUUCAUAUGUGGUGGUCUUGUGAUAAAACAUUGGAAUUUUGGAAAAUGAUAUAUAAAGAAAGUCAAAAAAUAGUGGGAGUCAAUUAUACAAUGAGACCUGAAAUAUAUUUAUUGGGAAUAUAUGAAGAGAUACUUAUUUUAGAUGCAAACAAAGAAAAACUACUUAUUUACUUAGCGACAGCGGUCUUCGCAAAGGAAUGGAAAUCAGAUAGCUUACCAAUUAAAGAGUAAUGGCUAAAUAAAGUCAUGCAAAUUAAGGAUGUGGACAAGUUAACCUUUCUGUUAAAAAAAGAACAAUGUUAAAGGUCUAAAAAUGACUGAUUGGACACAAUUUGAGAAGUACAUUAAAGAGUUCUACUAAGUUUAGAACUUUGAACUAAAAACAUCCAAUUUGCUAAAAGGGAAAGAUGGAUUAUAAUCAAGAGACUUAAUAUGUACCCAGGGAAAAGAAGAACAGAAGUCCAAACAAUAUUUUUUUUGUAUUUUGUAUUUUUAUUUCUUUUUUGUUAUUCCUUCUCUUUCUUCUCAAACACGUCUUCCCAAACAGCUCUCAAGGACACACGAAUACCCAUCAACAUCUUGCUGACUGCAAAGGGGCCCCAUUUCCCAACCCCACUUUUAUUCACAAUUCCUCCUCAGAACUGGAAUCGGCCAACACCCUGCUAGCAGCUGAAGCCUCUUGCCUCAAUUCCUCCUCAGAACUGGAAUCAGACAACGCCCCACCAGACCUCCUUUCAGCGGAAGCCCCUUGCCGAGCCCUCCACUCUGUCUAUCUUUUAUCCAAACCCAUAACUCCCCAUUUUUUCCAACGUAUCAGGAAGAGGUGAGGAAAUGGAUUUUUCUCAAAACUCCGGAUGUUUUGCCAACUUUCUAAUGAAUUAGUACUUGUUGCUCUCUGGUUAGGAUCACCGAAUUUGUGGGAGGAGAAAUUGGGGGAGGAGUCAAAAUAAACAUUUUUGGGCAAUUUCCUUUUUCUCCCAAAGCAGGAAGGUUUGGUUGUAAGCUACCUCAUAACACUUCUACUUUGCAAAAUAAAAUAGCUUUUUAGGGUACAUUUAUUCCUUCUGUCCAUGAUUUGUCUGUGUCCUGUGUUGGGAGGGCCAGAGUUG
rnacentral:lncRNA from 1 species